CAGUAGCCACGGUAAUACGGAGGAUCCAAGCGUUAUCCGGAAUCAUUGGGUUUAAAGGGUCCGUAGGCGGUCUUGUAAGUCAGUGGUGAAAGCCCAUCGCUCAACGGUGGAACGGCCAUUGAUACUGCAGGACUUGAAUUAUGUGGAAGUAACUAGAAUAUGUAGUGUAGCGGUGAAAUGCUUAGAGAUUACAUGGAAUACCAAUUGCGAAGGCAGGUUACUACCAAUUGAUUGACGCUGAUGGACGAAAGCGUGGGUAGCGAACAGGAUUAGAUACCCCAGUAGUCCCUGUCUCUUAUAA
rnacentral:rRNA from 1 species